GAUGAACGCUAGCGAUAGGCCUAACACAUGCAAGUUGAGGGGCAGCAUAGAGUAGCAAUACUUUGAUGGCGACCGGCGCACGGGUGAGUAACACGUAUGCAACCUACCUACAUCAGGGGAAUAACCCGGAGAAAUUCGGACUAAUACCGCAUAAUACAGGGAUGCCGCAUGGCAAGAUUUGUUAAAGAUUUAUCGGAUGUAGAUGGGCAUGCGUUCCAUUAGCUAGUUGGUAAGGUAACGGCUUACCAAGGCAACGAUGGAUAGGGGAACUGAGAGGUUUGUCCCCCACACUGGAACUGAGACACGGACCAGACUCCUACGGGAGGCAGCAGUGAGGAAUAUUGGUCAAUGGACGAGAGUCUGAACCAGCCAAAUCGCGUGAAGGAAGACUGCCCUACGGGUUGUAAACUUCUUUUGUACAGGAAUAAAAGACAUUACGUGUAAUGUAUUGCAUGUACUGUACGAAUAAGCAUCGGCUAACUCCGUGCCAGCAGCCGCCGUAA
rnacentral:rRNA from 1 species